ACGAGGCCUGCCACAACUGGUAGGUGACGGCAAAGUUCUUGAGGGCGCCCACAUAGUAGGUCUUGCGGUGGCCCUGGAGGGCCUCCAGCGCAGCAUAGGCGCCGCCGGACCGGGCCAGUUCGGCGUCGGUAAAGUGCGGCUGGAAGGCGUGGAGCAACAACUCGUCGACAGCCGUCGUGUUGGUCAGCAGGGACGCGGGCAUGCGUGCCAACUGUUCAAUGACCACCUGGCGCAUGGCCGCCACCGAGAUGGGCUCCUGCGAGGUGGCCUUGAACUGGACCGGCCCAUAGGGCAGACCGCGCGUGAUUUGGGUGACGGCCGGCAGGGCGGGCGUGCCAAAGGGCGACGUCGGAUCCAUAUUGAGCAUGUUAAAGGCGCCGCCGUCGGCGACCGGCCCGGCGGCGGCGAUGGUGCCCGUAAAGUAGUAGCGCUGGCGCACCUCCUUAAAGAGGCGCCUCUCGGCGGCGUCGAGCGCGAGCGGCUUCAUGUUUUGCUCGGUCUGCGCAUAGGCCACGAUCAACUUGCCACACACAUAGGUGAACGAACCGGCGAGGCCGUUGCCGUUGGGCGUCGUCAAGGUGCCACCGACGAUGACGGGCAGCCGCGGCGAGUAGGGCCGCACGGCAAUCAGGGUCUUGGCGUUGACCAGCACAUUGUUGGCGUCGUCGGCCGUCAGGUAGGCGCGCAUGCCGUCAUAGAUGCCGCGGCACCCGCCGGCGACGACAAAGCCCGCAUAGGGCACGGAAAAGAUGCGCGAGAUGGUGGGCGACAGGUUGAGCAGCGCGUACAGCGUGGUCAACUUGUCAAAGGCGCCCAGGCCGCCGCCCGACAGUUGCGGCACAAAGAGCGAGGGCACGAGCGGUCCCAGGUCGUGCGUGGCGAUAAACUGCGAAAAGGGCACCAGCAGUUCGGCGGGCACCGGCGAGGGCACCUCGGCGCGGUCGAUCCACGGGUACGAUGCAAUGAUGACCGACAGCCUGUAAUAGGCCGCGAGGAACUCGGGCGUGGGCGGCACCGGCGGCUGGAAGCCAUACGAGACGCCCUGGAGCAGGUUGACGGCAUAGUUGGGCGUCGUGUCCGUGGUAAAGUCGAGCGGGUAGACGCUGCCGGGGCCGGCAAAGCGCUGCACGAUGCCCACGCUGUCGAUCGUCCACGGGCCGAGGCCCACCUCGUUGGCCGCCGUCGUGUUGGCGAAAAACUGCACGCCAAUGUCGAUCCACGAGGGCAUGCCGGGGGCCGGCGCGGCAAAGUCGAUCGUGUCGCACUGGCCGCCGACGCGGUCGGCCGACUCGAUCACCACGACCGAAUGCCCGCGGUCCUUGGCAAAGACCGCCGCCGCCAUGCCCGCGGCGCCACCGCCGAGCACGCACACGUCGCGGUGACCCGUCGCCAAGCGGAACGGAGAACCGGCGUCGGCACCAGACACGGCCAGCAUCAAUAGGAUGGCGACGGCAGCACCCAGCAGCGUCGUCGCUGUUGCGCCAUUCUUGCGCGACAUGAAUCGAGUAGGGUUGCCUUGAGAUGUCAUAAAGUCCUUGUAGGUCCUUGUUUUGGAAUUGUUUGGUCCUUCGAGUCUUGGGUUUGAUGCGAGGCUGUUGUUGGCGGGUCCGACCUUGCUCUUGU
rnacentral:lncRNA from 1 species